rnacentral:lncRNA from 1 species
UUAGGAAAAUAUUUUUGUAUUUUUUGAAUAUCAAAAACUAUUUAAAAUGAAUUAAAAAUAACUAGAAAAGAGAAAAUUCACAAAAAAUAUCAAAUGAUGAAAUAAAAAAAAUUAGAAAUCAGAAUUAGAAACUAGAAAUUAUUUGGAGAAGAAUGCAAUUGGUCCCAUAUUUUUUGGAUUUAAAAUGAAGAAGAUAUUGAUUUUUGAAAAUAAUGGGAAUAAAAGAAAAAAAAUCAGAAAAUAAAAAAUAAGAAAAAACAAGGAGCGUUGGAUUGGAUCUCAUUAAUUGACAUGGCCAAUCCUGAGAUUCA